UAGGGAAUCUUCCGCAAUGGACGCAAGUCUGACGGAGCAACGCCGCGUGAGUGACGAAGGUCUUCGGAUCGUAAAACUCUGUUGUUAGGGAAGAACAAGUAUCGUUCGAAUAGGGCGGUACCUUGACGGUACCUAACCAGAAAGCCCCGGCUAACUACGUGCCAGCAGCCGCGGUAAUACGUAGGGGGCAAGCGUUGUCCGGAAUUAUUGGGCGUAAAGCGCGCGCAGGCGGUCCUUUAAGUCUGAUGUGAAAGCCCACGGCUUAACCGUGGAGUGUCAUUGGAAACUGGAGGACUUGAGUACAGAAGAGGAGAGUGGAAUUCCACGUGUAGCGGUGAAAUGCGUAGAGAUGUGGAGGAACACCAGUGGCGAAGGCGACUCUCUGGUCUGUUACUGACGCUGAGGUGCGAAAGCGUGGGGAGCGAACA
rnacentral:rRNA from 1 species